rnacentral:rRNA from 1 species
UACGAAGGGGGCUAGCGUUGUUCGGAAUUACUGGGCGUAAAGCGCACGUAGGCGGAAUGUUAAGUCAGGGGUGAAAUCCCGGGGCUCAACCCCGGAACUGCCUUUGAUACUGGCAUUCUCGAGUCCGGAAGAGGUGAGUGGAAUUCCGAGUGUAGAGGUGAAAUUCGUAGAUAUUCGGAGGAACACCAGUGGCGAAGGCGGCUCACUGGCCCGAUACUGACGCUGAGGCACGAAAGCGUGGGGAGCGAACGGG